AUCGCUUCUCGGCUUUUGGCUAAGAUCAAGUGUAGUAUCUGUUCUUAUCAGCUUAAUUCUGAUAUGUUGAUCACUUUGCGACUGGUUUUGAUCGCUGAUAAUUGGAUAUCGCCAUUGAUUUGGAGUUUGGACUCCUGUUAAGGUUAUUUGGUAUUAAUCUACCUCUCUUCUGCUGAUUUCCUAGUGGAACAUUU